rfam:Mesocricetus auratus contig016234, whole genome shotgun sequence.
AGAUGUGAGGAUGAUCUGGCUCACAUUCAUCGCCAGAGUUGAUUUGACAGAUCGGGCUGGCUAGGUGGGUGUCACUUCCUCUUUUAUUUACCCCUCCACGUGAGUCCCUCCCAAAGUUGAGCACUUGGUAGAAGAGGAGGACGGCCUUCCCCGAAUAGAGGGCGACCAGUCUUAGGUCAAGGGUAUAUGAGUAGCUGUGCUCCUCUGCUAGAACCUCCAAACAAUCUCUCAAAAUAGCAACUGAAGAUUAAAAAGAAAAAAAAGCCAAGAGUUAGUCUGUUUUGGAAAAUGUAAAUUUUAGAAUGAC